GACGAACGCUGGCGGUGUGCUUAACACAUGCAAGUCGAACGAUGAAGCCGGAGCUUGCUCUGGUGAAUUAGUGGCGAACGGGUGAGUAACACGUGAGUAACCUGCCCUUGACUCUGGGAUAACUGCGGGAAACUGUAGCUAAUACCGGAUACGACCCUCGGAGGCAUCUCCUGGGGGUGGAAAGAAUUUGGGUCAAGGAUGGACUUGCGGCCUAUCAGCUAGUUGGUGAGGUAAAGGCUCACCAAGGCGACGACGGGUAGCCGGCCUGAGAGGGUGACCGGCCACACUGGGACUGAGACACGGCCCAGACUCCUGCGGGAGGCAGCAGUGGGGAAUAUUGCACAAUGGGCGCAAGCCUGAUGCAGCAACGCCGCGUGAGGGAUGACGGCCUUCGGGUUGUAAACCUCUUUUAGUAGGGAAGAAGCGAAAGUGACGGUACCUGCAGAAAAAGCACCGGCUAACUACGUGCCAGCCGCCGCAGUAA
rnacentral:rRNA from 1 species